AUUGAACGCUGGCGGCAUGCCUUACACAUGCAAGUCGAACGGCAGCACGGGAGCAAUCCUGGUGGCGAGUGGCGAACGGGUGAGUAAUAUAUCGGAACGUGCCCAGUCGUGGGGGAUAACGCAGCGAAAGCUGUGCUAAUACCGCAUACGAUCUACGGAUGAAAGCGGGGGAUCGCAAGACCUCGCGCGAUUGGAGCGGCCGAUAUCAGAUUAGCUAGUUGGUGGGGUAAAAGCCCACCAAGGCGACGAUCUGUAGCUGGUCUGAGAGGACGACCAGCCACAAUGGAACUGAGACACGGUCCAGACUCCUACGGGAGGCGGCAGUGGGGAAUUUUGGACAAUGGGCGCAAGCCUGAUCCAGCAAUGCCGCGUGCAGGAUGAAGGCCUUCGGGUUGUAAACUGCUUUUGUACGGAACGAAACGGCUCUUUCUAAUAAAGAGGGCUAAUGACGGUACCGUAAGAAUAAGCACCGGCUAACUACGUGCCAGCAGCCGCAGUAA
rnacentral:rRNA from 1 species